GACGAACGCUGGCGGCGUGCUUAACACAUGCAAGUCGAACGGAAAGGCCCUGCUUUUUUGGGGUGCUCGAGUGGCGAACGGGUGAGUAACACUUGAGUAACCUGCCCUUGACUUUUGGAUAACUUCAGGAAACUGGGGCUAAUACCGGAUAGGAGCUCCUGCUGCAUGUUGGGUGUUGGAAAGUUUCGGCGGUUGGGGAUGGACUCGCGGCUUAUCAUCUUGUUGGUGGGGUAGUGGCUUACCAAGGCUUUGACGGGUAGCCGGCCUGAGAGGGUGACCGGCAACAUUGGGACUGAGAUACGGCACAGACUAGUACGGGAGGCAGCAGUGGGGAAUAUUGCACAAUGGGCGGAAGCAUGAUGCAGCAACGCCGCGUGAGGGAUGACGGACUUCGGGUUGAAAACAGCUUUCGCCUGUGACGAAGCGUGAGUGACGGUAAUGGGUAAAGAAGCACCGGCUAACUACGUG
rnacentral:rRNA from 1 species